AUGUCUCUCUAUCUUCGAAAUCACCGCAUAAACCUUGCAACACCACCUCUCCGCCAUCAUCGUGCGAUCACAGUUCCGUUGUGCGAUCACCAUACUCUCUUCACCGUUCCGCCAACAACUUCAACACUCGUCACCAUCAGUGCAUCUUCCGGACAACCUUGCUCCAUCACAAGCUCAUCCGCUUCCCUCUGUUUACAACUUCCGACUCUGCUCAGCAACAUCCUCCGCUUCAUCAAUCGCGUUCUCCUCCCUAACCACCGUCCGCACCAUCUGCUUCAGCCAGCGGCUCACCUCCAUGCGGUAGUCUCUUCAUCAUCUCACCAACAACCGAAUCCCGGUUUCAAAACGGUUUGGGUUUCUCUCUGA